rnacentral:rRNA from 1 species
UACAGAGGUCUCAACCGUUGUUCGGAUUCAUUGGGCGUAAAGGGUGCGUAGGCGGUCGCGUAAGUCAGGUGUGAAAUCCCGGGGCUCAACCCCGGAACUGCACUUGAUACUGCGUGGCUAGGGUACUGGAGAGGAGACUGGAAUUUACGGUGUAGCAGUGAAAUGCGUAGAUAUCGUAAGGAAGACCAGUGGCGAAGGCGAGUCUCUGGACAGUUACCGACGCUGAGGCACGAAGGUCAGGGGAGCAAACGGG